rnacentral:rRNA from 1 species
AUUGAACGCUGGCGGCAUGCUUUACACAUGCAAGUCGAGCGGCAGCGCGGGGGCAACCCUGGCGGCGAGCGGCGAACGGGUGAGUAAUGCAUCGGAACGUGUCCCGUAGUGGGGGAUAACGCCGCGAAAGCGGCGCUAAUACCGCAUACGACCUACGGGUGAAAGCAGGGGAUCGCAAGACCUUGCGCUAUCGGAGCGGCCGAUGUCAGAUUAGCUUGUUGGCGGGGUAAAAGCCCACCAAGGCGACGAUCUGUAGCUGGUCUGAGAGGACGACCAGCCACACUGGGACUGAGACACGGCCCAGACUCCUACGGGAGGCAGCAGUGGGGAAUUUUGGACAAUGGGCGCAAGCCUGAUCCAGCCAUGCCGCGUGCGGGAAGAAGGCCUUCGGGUUGUAAACCGCUUUUGUCAGGGAAGAAACGCUCCGGGUUAAUACCUCGGAGUAAUGACGGUACCUGAAGAAUAAGCACCGGCUAACUACGUGC